GCACGUUCGCUCCAUUAAAAGGUUGCAAGGUGCCGCUGGGUGGAUGGGAUCCUCCUCACCUCAUCAUCUCAUCUUGGCCGCCGCCGAGCAACCAACUCUGCUCCGCUCCGCUCCGCUCCAUCGUCGCCUUCGGCCUUCCAUUCGCUCCUUCUUCACCAGGUCAGGUCAGGAAGAAAAAGAAGAGGAUCGUCCAGUAAGCCUGCCGGGUGGGAGAUAUCAGCAACAUGGAUUUUAAGCUCCAGGAUAUCGAAGCCAUCACAAACAACUUUGCAGAGGAUCAGAUAGUUGGCAGCGGUGGAUACGGAGUUGUUUACAGGGUAUUUCUACAAAUUCUUAUAUCUAAAUCUGUGCUUCCCUCAAUUAUAAUCACAAUCCGUACCAUGACAACUGAUCAUCGAUUUUAUCAGGCGACCCAUGAAGGGGAAGAAAUUGCGGUGAAGAAGCUUCGUCAACUGCAGGGACUCGAUGAUAAGCAAUUCGACAACGAGUUCCGUAACCUUCGUAACAUACGCCACAAAAAUGUUGUGCGGCUAAUUGGCUACUGCCACCAGUCUUGCAAGAAAUACAUGGAGCACAAGGGGGAGCUUAUCUUCGCUAAAGAGAUGGAGCGAGUGCUCUGCUUCGAAUAUAUGCACGGCGGAAGCCUCGAUAAACACAUUCAAGAUGAAUCUUGCGGGCUUGAGUGGCCCACAUGUUUCCAGAUUAUCAAAGGGACUUGUGAGGGACUAGAUCACCUUCACACCUCACAGGGAAAACCUAUUUUCCAUCUGGACUUGAAGCCUGGUAAUAUUUUGCUGGAUGAAAGUAUGACGCCCAAAAUUGGAGAUCUUGGUUUGUCAAGACUCGUUGCUUCAACAAAAACACGACAAACAGAGAUGCGCCACGGAACACUCGGGUUCAUGCCACCAGAGUAUGUUGACAGUGGCUUCAUAUCAAAGAAGUUUGACGUGUUCAGUUUGGGGGUCAUAAUUGUAAAAAUGUUGGCCGGGGAUAAGAGCUACUUCCGUUGCUCUGAAAUGCCCUCCGAACAGUUUAUUGAGCUUGUAAGGGAAAUCUGGAGGAAAAAGUUUCAGGCAAAGCCUGGAUAUUCCUCACAGUCACAGGAAAUAGACAUUCUAGGAGUGACUUCAUGUGUUGAGAUUGCACUAAGGUGUGUGGACAGGGACAGAAACAAAAGGCCAUGUAUCAAUGAUAUUGUCCAUGAACUGGAUCAACUAGAAGCUAAGCUUAAAGCAAUGUCACUAGCUUCUAAUGUGUCAAAUGAUGCCACGGUCCAGAGAAGCUGCGACACCAACAUUAUCUCGGUGGAUCCAUCCCUGGAGCUGCGGUUCGUCUUUGAGCCAAGGAAGGAGACGUCGUGCUGCCUACAGAUAAUCAACAAGACGGAGGGCAUCGUCGCGUUCAACAUAAAAAUUAACCAGAACAAGUACAGUGUGCGGCCAAGCCAAGGGACCAUGCCGCCAUGCUCCUGCCGUUAUGUUAUCGUGAAGUUGCAGGCGCAGGACGCGGCGCCGCCCAACAUGCGGUGUCAUGACAUGCUCUUCGUGCAGAACACCAGUAUCACCCAAGACUUGGAAUCAAGAGAUGGUGAGAUUGAUUAUCAAGAAUUGUUCAAGAAGGCCAUGGCGGAUAAGGUGGUUGAUGUGGUGAAGCUUCCGAUCGUUUAUGUUACACUGGACUAAUAGUCUCAUCCACCAAGAACUCUUUGAGGUUGUUAUUAAGAUCCAAAAAAAAAUUCUUGAGUUGUUGUUUGCGAGAGGGUGUUCUCUUUGUGUUCUAUUUAACUGUUUCUUGGUCGAUUAUGCGGUCUUUAAUUAGCUGCUGCUACAAACAUUGUCCUCUCUAACUGAUGAUUAUGUUGUAUUGGAAAGUAUGGAAGACGUAAUGCAAAGGUCCUUCAAUCAGGAAGGCUUGAGUAUGUGUUACAAGAGAUGGUCAAUUGAAUGCCUAUAGAGCAGGUCCAUAGU
rnacentral:rRNA from 1 species